CUCAGGCUCCUCGUUGGUAAAAUGGAGAUGGCUAUGGCAGGUGCUUCCAGGAUUUCUCUGAAGAUUCAGUGAGGGAAAAGAGCCCAGUAGGGUUCCUAGUUGAGCACUGGAUAGGAGGCAGUGAGGAAUAUUAUUCAAGGGCGUGAUUGACAGGGCGAGGAAUUUGGGCACUACCCUAUAGAAAUGGUUCUGGCAAUCAAUCAGAUCCACUGACAAAUAUUGGGUCCUGCUGUGUGUCCAAUGUGGUUCCAGGCACCAUGGACUCAAAGGUAAGUCAGAUCCACCCGUUGCCUUGGGGUCCCUCGUGUGGGCAGAUGGACCCAUGAUCUGGCAGCACAGUCCAGCAUUCAAGGAAGAGGCAGGGGGAAGGAUAUUGAGGGCAAUGCUUGAUCUGAUGUGAAACUGAUCUGAUGGAGGAGCUGUCCCUGUAGAUAAAAGGAGGCGGGGGCAUUCCAGGAAGAGGGGCAGCAGGAAGAAUUGCUCAGAAGCUGGACACAAAUGAACGCUGCCCAACUCUACCUGCCAAGAUAGUUGAUGUGUAUUAAGAGGGCAGAAUGAAGGAUUUGCACCAGAUUCUACAGGGGACAAGGACAGGAGCUUGCAAUGACUUGAGGGGAGAGACAGUGCCCCUCGCCCAUCCCACCUGCUCUGCUUGGCAGUGAUGAUGACCAGACGAGCACCCUCCUCACACGGUGAUCCUCGCCUUUGAAGCAGGUGAAUUCGUCGUGGAAAAAUUGCAGGAGGAGCCCUGAAAUGCAGCCCAGGUCCUUGGGUAGGGCUCACAGCGGGUUCUGGGGAGGAGGGCAGAGCUCAGCUCUGCUGGGCUGGGAGCUGCACAGGCCGCUGAAUGGAGACUCCAGUGCAAGACUGGAACUGGAUCAGCUGUGCCUCCCCGACACUUUGCCAAAGUGAGCACAGCAGCUUCCCAUUUGUCCGUUCAAGGGAUGGACGUCAGCAGAAGGCAGGGUCACGCAGGGCAGGGGCCUCAGACGGUGUGUCAGCAUCAACUUUGACAGGGGCUUGAUUAAAAUAACCCCGACACACUCCUGCACCAUGAGACCUGCCACCAUCAACAGGGCUGAAAAGAACAGUCUCCCUCUCCCGACUCCCACUUGGCACCACCCAAACCUGCCCCUGUCGACUUGCUGUUGCCUGCCCGCAUGGCCUGCACUGGCCAGAACAUUUCUCCCGUGUAAUGUCGUGCUUGUGUCCAGCAUCUGCCAGACCCUGUAGAACCAAGACACCCACAGAGGAAAGCUGAUCAGGACCUGGUGGUACGCGUGGGGAGGAAGCCCACCAUUUCACCCAGCUCUCACAUUUGACUGACAGGUGCUUCGGUUCCUCCUGCAUCUGGUCUGUGAACUGCAAGACUAGGAGAAAGGCAGAACAAUUUGCUCUAGACCCUUAGACCACAGGGUUUUUUCCCCACCCCCAAAAUUCUCCAGGCUAAGAUGGGGAGGGCUGUUGCUUUGUAAAAUCAUUAUGUCCAGGAAGACAGUCCAGCCACCGCUUACUGUUCCAUCUCUGCUGCAGCCCCGUAAGACCAUCUUCUCAAGGCUGCAGAUUUGGGGCCCUGGCCCCAUCUGAGCACCCGCUCCCACUGGCCCAGCCACCUUGCCUCAGCCAGCACCACACCAAGGGUGAGGACCAACAGAAGCAGCACCAGGGUCAUUGCCAGGAGGAAAAGCUUCCAGGGGUCAUCCUGGGGCAUCUUUGAUCCUGCUGUGCUGUGGGGAAUGCAGCAAGAGUGAGUCAGAACGCACAGACUCGUAACAGUGUUGAGAUGGUGCUAGGGCCAUGGAGGGACGGGGCUGACCCACCCCUCACUGGGGUGGGAGGCGGCGAGUGAUCAGUGGUAUUGAGGAGGGCGUCUACUCCUACCCUGGGCUCUUGGUCCACCUGGGUCCCCGGGCACAGGUGGAGGUUUUUCCCCCGUGGGUGUGCGGUCCCAUAGCCUGCUGCUCUUGUACCUGCGUUCAGCUGUGGCUGCAGCUCAGUCUGCUCUGGCUGCCCAGCCCUUCUGGUGGUUAGUGAAGAUGCACAGUCCUGUGCUAGGAAGUGCCACCUACAUGUAAACCAUCAAACCUUUCCUUCCUGCCUCAGCAAGGCUCCCAGGAGCCCCAGAUGGCUUAUCGUCAGUUCACGUCAUGGGGAGACGACCCUGGCAUCCGGGGGAAGGUACUCUGCUCCUAGUACUCUCUGCAACUUUCAUUCCUCUCACAGUUGGUGGGGACAGCAGCUGCCCCAGAAGUCUGCCUCGAGGUCCCUGGUGCAUCUGUGCUCUCAAGCAUCUGGCAACAUUAGUUUCAAAAGAUCUUGCACUUUCCCAAAGACGAAAUUGGGGUGAUCUCGACACUGGAGUUAUGUUGAUGACUCCCAUCUCAGAGCGUGUGGCCAGUCACCCCUCACACCUUGGUUCACACUGUACAUUUUAACUGGAGAUGGUGACGCAGGGAGGAGGAGAAACAAGACGGAGAGGCCUCUAGUCAUCACACCCACUGUUGGGGAGCUUUCACACGUGCUGUCAUUUAACGGUCUUUUCCCUCUGAAUGCCAUUAUGGUUUUUCUCUUUUCCUUUGAUUCUCAGCAGGUUGACUGGGAUGUUCCUCUGUGUGUGUGUGUGUGUGUGUGUGUGUGUGUGUGUGCAUGCAUAUGCUUUCUGGAAUUUGCCCCGUCAGGGGUUCUCUGAGUUCCCUCAAUCUGUGUUUUGAUUAUCUUUCAUGAUUUUAUAAAACUCUCAGAAUUCUGAGCCCCACAUCUCCUACUCAUUUACUGUCACCUGAGAUAUGCCACCUAACCUGUCAACCUCAGUUUCCCUAUUUGUAAAAUGGAAAUAAGUAUAACACCUGCCUCCCAAGGAUGCUCUCUGCAUUGAGAACGUGGGUCUGGUGGUUGAUAAGCCCUCAAUAAAUGCAGCUCUGGGUCUUUUUAAAGCCAUGGCGGUACUCUUAGACUUGGCCAAGCAGCAUGCCUACCCGGGUCCUGAACAUCUAGAGACCUUCAGUUUCAAGGGCUUUCCUCGAGGGAAGUCCUCCUCUGCCAUCUGGGGCCAGACAGGAUUGUCAGUGGCUCCCAGGAGGAGCAGUCCAGGCCCCCAGGACCAGUUCAAGUGAACAGAGUUCAAGUGGGUCUCCGUCACAGGAACAAAUAGUCUCCAUUUUUUCACUCCUCUCUGGUGACUGUCACCUGCCAGGAUCAGCCCUGGUUCUGACGUCUCUCCACUGGGGAAC
rnacentral:lncRNA from 1 species